rnacentral:lncRNA from 1 species
GGGAAAGAUUGACUCACGAGAGAUUGGAGAGGUAGAUUCACACAGUGAUAGUGCAAGCAGCUUGCUUCUAAUUAAAUAUGCGACUGAGUCUCAAUGCAUUUGCUUUCAGCCGCAGAGAGAAGAAGCUGCCCAAGAAUGGAAAGGAAGAAAUAUAUCACAUCAUCUGUCUGUCCACAGGCUUUCCUUGGGGCUUAUGAAGAUUUCCUCGUGAUAGUGAUUCUUCUUUACUCUCUUGCAUUCAGAAUGAUGGCAUUGACAUCUUAAAAAUAGUAAGUAACGUGUGAUAUUUUCUCCAAUCAUUGUUGAUAGUUA